AAUCAACGCUGGCGGCGUGCCUCAGACAUGCAAGUCGAACGCGAAAGUCCCCUUCGGGGGGACAAGUAGAGUGGCGCACGGGUGAGUAACACGUAGGUAAUCUACCUUCGGAUGGGGAAUAACAACCGGAAACGGUUGCUAAUACCGCAUAAUGCAGCGGCACCUAAUGGUGACAGUUGUUAAAGCGGGGGAUUGAAAGACCUCGCGUCUGAAGAGGAGCCUGCGGCGGAUUAGCUUGUUGGAGGGUAACGGCCUACCAAGGCGACGAUCCGUAGCCGGCCUGAGAGGGCGGUCGGCCACACUGACACUGACAUACGGGUCAGACUCCUACGGGAGGCAGCAGUCGGGAAUUUUGGGCAAUGGGCGAAAGCCUGACCCAGC
rnacentral:rRNA from 1 species